rnacentral:rRNA from 1 species
UACGUAGGUGGCAAGUGUUAUCCGGAAUUAUUGGGCGUAAAGAGCGCGCAGGUGGUUAAUUAAGUCUGAUGUGAAAGCCCACGGCUUAACCGUGGAGGGUCAUUGGAAACUGGUUGACUUGAGUGCAGAAGAGGGAAGUGGAAUUCCAUGUGUAGCGGUGAAAUGCGUAGAGAUAUGGAGGAACACCAGUGGCGAAGGCGGCUUCCUGGUCUGCAACUGACACUGAGGCGCGAAAGCGUGGGGAGCAAACAGG